UGGGGAAUUUUGGACAAUGGGCGAAAGCCUGAUCCAGCCAUGCCGCGUGAGUGAAGAAGGCCUUCGGGUUGUAAAGCUCUUUUAGUCGGAAAGAAAGAGUUGCAAUGAAUAAUUGUGAUUUAUGACGGUACCGACAGAAAAAGCACCGGCUAACUACGUGCCAGCAGCCGCGGUAAUACGUAGGGUGCGAGCGUUAAUCGGAAUUACUGGGCGUAAAGGGUGCGCAGGCGGUCUUGCAAGUCAGAUGUGAAAGCCCCGGGCUUAACCUGGGAAUUGCGUUUGAAACUACAAGACUAGAGUGCAGCAGAGGGGAGUGGAAUUCCAUGUGUAGCAGUGAAAUGCGUAGAGAUGUGGAAGAACACCGAUGGCGAAGGCAGCUCCCUGGGUCUGCACUGACGCUCAUGCACGAAAGCGUGGGGAGCAAACA
rnacentral:rRNA from 1 species